rnacentral:lncRNA from 1 species
CGCGGCUGUGGGGACCAGGACCAAACAAAACUAUUCCCACUCCUGUUCCAAAGCUGGGCCCGUGCAGUGACCCAGUUUUUGAGGAGAGAGACAGGGCUGUGCACGAGCUGGAGGAGCUGUUUAUCUGAUUGAGGCACUAAUUGUGUGGGUUCUGGCUGGAGCAGCGCGGGGAAGGCAGCGCAUUUCACGCUCAGCGCCGGGGAAGAGCCGCGCAACGCUCAGCGGAUAAAAGGCUCGUGGUCCCAGCUGGGAAAACAGUUCCAUUAUCUCCCAGCUGCACAGACCUUCCACACGGCUCCGUUCUGCCUGGCUGAGAGCUCCAAAGAGUCCUGCAGGAGAUUGUGGAGACCCCGAGACAUCUCCCUGCUCUAAUAUCCAGGUAGCCACAGGAAGACACACUUUGCUUUCUUCCACUGAUUGGAUGGGAGGAAUUUUUGACCUUGGAAAGUGGAGAUGGUGUUGCUAUGGAAACUAAUAAGUCUG